rnacentral:lncRNA from 1 species
AAAAUAGAAUAAAAAAUAAACCAAUAAACAAAAGCCGAGCCCAAAAGCCAUGUAACCAUGCAAGUCAUACAAGUCACGCUGAAAAUGUCCAAAUGGGCCAAGUGUGCCUAAACGGGCCUAUGAUGAAAUUAAGUGGGCCUAGGGUGGUGCCUAAUGGGCCAAGUGUAUCUAAAAGCUAUCCUAAAAAAACAAGAAAAGCCUAAGUCUAA